AUUGAACGCUGGCGGCAGGCCUAACACAUGCAAGUCGAGCGGAUGAAGGGAGCUUGCUCCUGGAUUCCGCGGCGGACGGGUGAGUAAUGCCUAGGAAUCUGCCUGGUAGUGGGGGAUAACGUCCGGAAACGGGCGCUAAUACCGCAUACGUCCUGAGGGAGAAAGUGGGGGAUCUUCGGACCUCACGCUCUCAGAUGAGCCUAGGUCGGAGUAGCUAGUUGGUGGGGUAAAGGCCUACCAAGGCGACGAUCCGUAACUGGUCUGAGAGGAUGAUCAGUCACACUGGAACUGAGACACGGUCCAGACUCCUACGGGAGGCAGCAGUGGGGAAUAUUGGACAAUGGGCGAAAGCCUGAUCCAGCCAUGCCGCGUGUGUGAAGAAGGUCUUCGGAUUGUAAAGCACUUUAAGUUGGGAGGAAGGGCAGUAAGUUAAUACCUUGCUGUUUUGACGUUACCAACAGAAUAAGCACCGGCUAACUUCGUG
rnacentral:rRNA from 1 species